AGUGUCGCGGUGGGUAGUAGAUGAGUUGGAUAAGCCAAGAGAUCAGUGCCACAAUAGAAUAUAGCUUGUGAGCACCGGUGGGCGCUGGAUAGAAUGUAAAUCUUUUAUUCCUGAAUGUGUGUGUGGACUUUUGUGAACUGCCGAAGGUAGCAGAAUAAUAAAGUGGGCUAGUUGUGGGGUUUUCUUGAGUUUCCACUGCAGUAUCUGGGAAGAUGUGGAAUCUAUUCCUUGAUAUGUUUUCCUGUUGAAUUUGUUUUCAUUUAUUUUCUAAAGGUUAUCACAUUGUUAGUUGUUAUUCUUUUCAAAUAUUUUUCUUAUCAAAAAUUUGUUAAUACUAAAGUAUUUCAUUACUAUAACUUUUAGUCCAGUUAAGUACUUACUCUUAUGAGAAAGAGGUCUUCUUGCAGUAUUGUUUUUAAUUCAAUAUUGAUGUCAUUUCAAUUAGACCUGUUUUUGACUAGCGUGAGCUAUAUAAACCUAUGUUUGUAUGGAAAUAUCUUGAACUGGUAUUGAUAAGGCCGGUCGGACUAUUAAUAUAAAUUCAUGGUUGUCACAGUUGGUAUCAGUUCAGGUUCUGAUUUACUUAGACUGUGGGCAUGAGAUUACCGGUUGUUGAAAGUUGUGUGUUAAAGAAAUAUAUUUUUAUCGUACGAUGAUUUAUUUUAAGGGUUUGAGUAACUGUUUUAGUUUUUCAAGAGUAUUAAUCGUCGUAUUUUUUCAUCGGUUUUGUCUUGGUUUUAAAAGAGUGAUAUUUCGGUUUUAUGGUCUGGCUUUUGGGGAUGGGGCGUAGAUUUAACAUUUAGAGUGUUUAGACUUUUUAACUAAUUUUUUUGUUUGUGCUUGACAUGGUUGGUUUCAGCGUUAGUGCUAGACAUGCUUGCUUUCAGUGUCAUAUUGAAGAAAAUAUUCAUUCUCAUUCCACUCUGAGGUAGCAGAAUAAUAAAGUGGGCUAGUUGUGGGGUUUUCUUGAGUUUCCACUGCAGUAUCUGGGAAGAUCUGGAAUCUCUUCCUUGAUGUGUUUUCCUGUUGAAUUUGUUUUCAUUUAUUUUCUAAAGGUUAUCAAAUUGUUAGUUGUUUUCAAAUAUUUUUCUUAUCAAAACUUUGUUAAUACUAAAGUAUUUCAUUACUAGAACUUUUAGUCUAGUUAAGUACUUACUCUUAUGAGAAAGAGGUCUUCUUGCAGUAUUGUUUUUAAUUCAGUAUUGAUGUCAUUUCAAUUAGAUGUGUUUUUGACUUGCGUGAGCUAUAUAAACCUAUGUUUAUAUGGAAAGAUCUUGAAUUGGUCCUAUUAAUAUAAAUUCAGGGUUGU